UACGUAGGGUGCGAGCGUUGUCCGGAAUUAUUGGGCGUAAAGAGCUCGUAGGCGGUCUGUCGCGUCGAUCGUGAAAACUUGGGGCUUAACCCUGAGCUUGCGGUCGAUACGGGCAUGACUGGAGUUCGGCAGGGGGGACUGGAAUUCCUGGUGUAGCGGUGAAAUGCGCAGAUAUCAGGAGGAACACCGGUGGCGAAGGCGGGUCUCUGGGCCGAUACUGACGCUGAGGAGCGAAAGCGUGGGGAGCGAACAGG
rnacentral:rRNA from 1 species